rnacentral:tRNA from 1 species
UGGAUCACCUCCUAACAGGGAGACAACAAAAUGUUGAAUAUUAUUUUGUCACCUUAGGUCGAUCGGUAUCUCACGUUCUUAAUUUAUUAAGAAUUUCAUUUCCUAAGUUUUUCUAGGUCACACCCAUUAUUUUUCCUGGGCCAUUAGCUCAGGUGGUUAGAGCGCACCCCUGAUAAGGGUGAGGUCCCUGGUUCAAGUCCAGGAUGGCCCAUAUCUCUAUGUUGGGGGUAUAGCUCAGUUGGUAGAGCGCCUGCUUUGCAAGCAGGAUGUCAGCGGUUCGAGUCCGCUUACCUCCACUGAUUACCACCUCUUCCAUAACCGGUAGAAAGGAAAUGUUUUGAGUUGUGAUCAAAUUCUGAAAGAAUCUAGCUUCCUAAUGAAAUCAUUAAGAUGCUGGACUCAUUGAAUUAAUUUCAUUGUUUUCAGAGAACCUUGACAACUGCAUAGAUUAUUUUUAAAGACAAUAAGCAUCUUUAAUGAUGCAGAUUUAUUAUUUGUGCGAAUGCAUUAAUAACAAUUCUAUUAAGCUGAUGCUUCAAUUUUUGAAGUUAUUGGUCAAGCUACAAAGGGCUCACGGAGGAUACCUAGGCACACAGAGGCGAUGAAGG